GAUGAACGCUGGCUACAGGCUUAACACAUGCAAGUCGAGGGGAAACGACGGGGAAGCUUGCUUCCCCGGGCGUCGACCGGCGCACGGGUGAGUAACGCGUAUCCAACCUGCCUCUGACUGAGGGAUAACCCGUCGAAAGUCGGCCUAAUACCUCAUGGUAUCGUCUGCGGGCAUCCAACGACGAUUAAAGAUUUCAUCGGUCAGGGAUGGGGAUGCGUCUGAUUAGCUUGUUGGCGGGGUAACGGCCCACCAAGGCUACGAUCAGUAGGGGUUCUGAGAGGAAGGUCCCCCACAUUGGAACUGAGACACGGUCCAAACUCCUACGGGAGGCAGCAGUGAGGAAGAUUGGGCAAUGGGCGAGAGCCUGAACCAGCCAAGUAGCGUGCAGGAAGACGGCCCUAUGGGUUGUAAACUGCUUUUAUGCGGGGAUAAAGUGAGGGACGUGUCCCUCAUUGCAGGUACCGCAUGAAUAAGGACCGGCUAAUUCCGUG
rnacentral:rRNA from 1 species